rnacentral:rRNA from 1 species
AUUGAACGCUGGCGGCAUGCCUUACACAUGCAAGUCGAACGGUAGAGGGGGCAACCUCUCGAGAGUGGCGAACGGGUGAGUAAAGCAUCGGAACGUGCCCAGUAGUGGGGGAUAGCCCGGCGAAAGCCGGAUUAAUACCGCAUGAGACCUACGGGUGAAAGGGGGGGAUCGCAAGACCUCUCGCUAUUGGAGCGGCCGAUGUCAGAUUAGGUAGUUGGUGGGGUAAAGGCCUACCAAGCCGACGAUCUGUAGCUGGUCUGAGAGGACGACCAGCCACACUGGGACUGAGACACGGCCCAGACUCCUACGGGAGGCAGCAGUGGGGAAUUUUGGACAAUGGGCGAAAGCCUGAUCCAGCCAUGCCGCGUGCGGGAAGAAGGCCUUCGGGUUGUAAACCGCUUUUGUCAGGGAAGAAAUCCUUUGAGUUAAUACCUCGGGGGGAUGACGGUACCUGAAGAAUAAGCACCGGCUAACUACGUGCCAGCCGCCGCCGUAA